rnacentral:rRNA from 1 species
UAGUAAUCGCGGAUCAGCAUGCCGCGGUGAAUACGUUCUCGGCCUUGUACACACCGCCCGUCACACCAUGGGAGUCGGUAACACCCGAAGUCUGUAGCCUGACGCAAGAGGGCGCAGCCGAAGGUGGGAUCGAUGACUGGGGUGAAGUCGUAACAAGGUAUC